rnacentral:rRNA from 1 species
GUCGAGAAUCUUUCACAAUGGGGGCAACCCUGAUGGAGCGACGCCGCGUGGAGGAUAUGGUCUUCGGAUUAUAAACUCCUGUCAUGCGUGAACAAGGUUGCUUGGUUAAUACCUGGGCAAAUUGAUGGUAACGCAAGAGGAAGAGACGGCUAACUCUGUGCCAGCAGCCGCGGUAAUACAGAGGUCUCAAGCGUUGUUCGGAAUCACUGGGCGUAAAGGGUGCGUAGGUGGCGUGGUAAGUCAGAUGUGAAAGCCCGGGGCUCAACCUCGGAACUGCAUCCGAUACUGCCAUGCUAGAGUACUGGAGAGGUGACUAGAAUUCUCUGUGGAGCAGUGAAAUGCGUAGAUAUCGAGAGGAAUACCAAAGGCGUAGGCAGGUCACUGGACAGUUACUGACACUGAGGCACGAAGGCCAGGGGAGCGAACGGGAUUAGAUACCCGUGUAGUCC